GUCCCUAUAGCUCAAUGGAUAGAGCACGGGCCUUCUAAGCCUGGGAUGGAGGUUCGACUCCCCCUAGGGACA
rfam:Candidatus Wildermuthbacteria bacterium RIFCSPLOWO2_01_FTLL_48_29 rifcsplowo2_01_scaffold_4985, whole genome shotgun sequence.